CCUCUUGCUUCCCAUUUCUUUUCCUUUUCCCUUUGGCUUUUUGUCUCAAUCGUUCCUUGUAAGCAGGCAUGAUGAGAUGUUUUUUCGAAAAAGAAAGGAGAAAAAAGACGUUUUUCUCGUUUUUUCACA
rnacentral:ribozyme from 13 species